rnacentral:rRNA from 1 species
CGGCCCCAAGUCAGGCGAGACCACCCGCCGAGUUUAAGCAUAUAAAUAAGCGGAGGAGAAGAAACUUACGAGGAUUCCCCUAGUAACGGCGAGUGAACCGGGAUCAGCCCAGCUUGAGAAUUUGACGGUUGAAUCCGUUCGAGUUGUAGUCUGGAGAAGUGUCCUCAGCGACGGAUCGGGCCCAAGUCCCUUGGAACGGGGUGCCGGGGAGGGUGAGAGCCCCGUCUGGCUCGGACCAUGCCGCAUGACGAGGCACUGUCGUCGAGUCGGGUUGUUUGGGAAUGCAGCCCCAGUUGGGCGGUAAAUUUCGUCCAAGGCUAAAUAUUGGCGAGAGACCGAUAGCGAACAAGUACCGCGAGGGAAAGAUGAAAAGGACUUUGAAAAGAGAGUCAAAGAGUACUUGAAAUUGCCGCGAGGGAAGCGGAUGGGGGUCGACGGAGUGCUCCGGUCGGAUGCGGAACGGCUCUAGUCGGUCCGUUGCUCGACUUGGGGCAUGGACCGUUGCAGGCUACGCUGGCGGUCCAAGCCCGAACGCAUUGUGCGCGCUCGCGGCAUAUUGCCAGCGUGGUCGAGGAUGCGGCGCGCGCCAUCGGCGUUCCCCACCCUGUGGCACUUGCGCGCUCAAGGCAUCGGCCAGUGGGCUCCCCAUUCGACCCGUCUUGAAACACGGACCAAGGAGUCUGACAUGCAUGCGAGUCGGCGAGUUUGGAAACUCUGACGGCGCAAGGAAGCUGAUGGGUGGGAGCCCCUUUCUUUCUGUGGGGGUGCAUCGCCGGCCGACCUAGAUCUUUUGUGAAGGGUUUGUGUUGGAGCAUGCCUGUCGGGACCCGAAAGAUGGUGAACUAUGCC